CGCGCCUCUCUGUCGUGGCGCGGCUUCCCGCGGUCUUCUCUGCAAAUGGGCUCCGUGGCCUAGCGCCCCCGUCCCCGCCACCCGUGAUCGUGCGCCGAGGCCCGCGAGGGGUCGCCGCCCAGAUCCCACCAGCCAGCAAGCUAAAGCAUGGCGGCCAUCCCCUCCAGCGGCUCGCUCGUGGCCACCCACGACUACUACCGGCGCCGCCUGGGUUCCACUUCCAGCAACAGCUCCUGCAGCAGUACCGAGUGCCCCGGGGAAGCCAUUCCCCACCCCCCAGGCUGACCCGGGUCAUUGGUGGGCCAGCUUCUUUUUCGGGAAGUCCACCCUCCCGUUCAUGGCCACGGUGUUGGAGUCCGCAGAGCACUCGGAACCUCCCCAGGCCUCCAGCAGCAUGACCGCCUGUGGCCUGGCUCGGGACGCCCCGAGGAAGCAGCCCGGCGGUCAGUCCAGCACAGCCAGCGCUGGGCCCCCGUCCUGACCUGAGCGGUUACCACCAGCCCCAGGCCUGCGGAGGCGCUAGUCCACCAGAGCCCCUCCCCGCCC
rnacentral:lncRNA from 1 species